UUGUAAAUGCAGAAUCAGAGAAAAUCUUGGGAAAGAUCCAUUUUCAGUCUCAUACAAAACAACCAGGAGACUGGUUUUGAGUCCACAGCAUCAUUAUAGCUUGGAAAAUGGUCAGUCACAGGGGCAACCUUCUUUCUCUGCUUACUUUGUUCUCCCAUUUGGCACCACACUGUUUGCCCUAUACCAAUUGGUUCUGGAGAGUACAGGCAGUGCUCAUACCGUGGUUAUACCUCUGCAAUGUUUUACUAAAUUUCUCCCUUGCUUAGGACAAACUCAAAAUACUUCUAAUACCUUUUAACAGCUGGAUAUUACAUUUUUUUCUUGUUUGCAUUUCAAAGCUGGAAUUCAUAGUUAAUCUCUUGUAGACUUGACUAAAAGCAAUGGUUGAACUCUUUUUAGGAAUUUUUUCCUGUUUUAUUCUAGAUUUUUUACCACACCGUAAUAUAUGCACGUCAUUUAUCAGAUACACAGCAUAGCCUUAAAUUAAUACAUGUUCUGAAAUAAUUGCUUAUUAUAAAAAGUUCAUUUUAUUAAUAUUGGCUUCCUAAUAGGCUAUUAUUCUUUAUGUUUUUACAUCCAGCUUGGCCAAAAAAAAUCUAAAACAUACAGGGAAUAUGAGAGAGAUUUUUCAGAAGAUUGCUAGCUAUGCUGCCACCUAGUGAAUCUGUACCAUCUCUCACAAUACUUUUGUUCACUACGAGAUUUAGCUCCUUUUUCUUAAAGGCAGAAAAAUCUUUUUUUUUUUUUACAAAAAGAACAUUUUCAAUAAAAUAACAGGCUAGAACUGUAUAAAAAUGCAUUACAGUUUUGUUUAAAAUUUGUUUUGACUAUAGUUAAUCAUUAAAUACUUUUUUCCUGUAGGAUUGUCCUACAGAAAUGAAAAAAUCAUAAUCAUAAGGCCAUUGUACCUUAUCCAGCCACACUGCUGCAUACAGCUGGUGUCAUUUCUAGCCUUCCAAAAAUAGGAUCGAGAGCACUUCCAGAAUCAACAACAUUUGGGCGACAUUUGGCAGGAACAGAUUCCUUUAAAGAAAUGGAAAGAUAAGAUGGUCAAUCAUGUGAGACCACAGAACCAGCCCGACCUCACAGAGCCAGUUCUACACUGAAAAUUCACAGACGACACUGGAGGUCAGAUGCUGAAUGCCCAAUAAGAGUUGUUAUCAUCACAAAAGACAGGCAGUAAGUGGGAGGCAGAAGCAUUUGGCAGCCACAGUUUAUACGUUUUGUGAGAAGAGACAUCACUGAUGAACAAAGGCCUAUUUCAAAAGUUCUAAAUGGAGCAUAGUAAGUGGUUCCACAUUGCAGGGCAGGCAUGACUUUGCAAGGCAAAUACUGUUUUGAGAGCUUUGUAAAGACCAUUGCUAUGAAGAUUUUUCAAAGAACAAAUCCUCACCUCUUCCCAAAAAACAAGAGUGCAAGUGGCUUAUUGCUCUGUGUAAAACACAUU